rnacentral:rRNA from 1 species
GAAAUACUCAAGCUAUGCAUCCAACCGCGUUUGGGAGCUUUCCCAUAUGGUCGACCUGCAGGCGGCCGCGAAUUCACUAGUGAUUAGAGUUUGAUCAUGGCUCAGGAUGAACGCUAGCGGCAGGCCUAACACAUGCAAGUCGAGGGGUAACAGGGAUUGCUUGCAAUCCGCUGACGACCGGCGCACGGGUGCGUAACGCGUAUGCAACCUACCUUUUACAGGGGUAUAGUCAAGAGAAAUUUUGAAUAACACCCCAUACGAUCAUCCUUACACCUGUAAAGAUGAAGAAAACUCCGGUGGUAAAAGAUGGGCAUGCGUCCUAUUAGUUAGUUGGUGAGGUAACGGCUCACCAAGACUGCGAUAGGUAGGGGUCCUGAGAGGGAGAUCCCCCACACUGGUACUGAGACACGGACCAGACUCCUACGGGAGGCAGCAGUGAGGAAUAUUGGACAAUGGAGGCAACUCUGAUCCAGCCAUGCCGCGUGCAGGAAGACUGCCCUAUGGGUUGUAAACUGCUUUUAUACAGGAAGAAACCUUGGUACGUGUACUAAGCUGACGGUACUGUAAGAAUAAGGAUCGGCUAACUCCGUGCCAGCAGCCGCGGUAAUACGGAGGAUCCAAGCGUUAUCCGGAAUCAUUGGGUUUAAAGGGUCCGCAGGCGGUUUUUUAAGUCAGAGGUGAAAUCCUAUCGCUCAACGAUAGAACUGCCUUUGAUACUGAAAGACUUGAGUUAUUGUGAAGUGGUUAGAAUAUGUAGUGUAGCGGUGAAAUGCAUAGAUAUUACAUAGAAUACCGAUUGCGAAGGCAGAUCACUAACAAUACACUGACGCUGAGGGACGAAAGCGUGGGUAGCGAACAGGAUUAGAUACCCUGGUAGUCCACGCCGUAAACGAUGGAUACUAGCUGUUUGACCAACAUUGGUUGGUUGAGUGGCUAAGCGAAAGUGAUA